GAUGAACGCUGGCGGCGUGCCUAAUACAUGCAAGUCGAGCGAACAGAUGAGGAGCUUGCUCCUCUGACGUUAGCGGCGGACGGGGGAGUAAAACGUGGAUAACCUACCUAUAAGACUGGGAUAACUUCGGGAAACCGGAGCUAAUACCGGAUAAUAUAUUGAACCGCAUGGUUCAAUAGUGAAAGACGGUUUUGCUGUCACUUAUAGAUGGAUCCGCGCCGCAUUAGCUAGUUGGUAAGGUAACGGCUUACCAAGGCAACGAUGCGUAGCCGACCUGAGAGGGUGAUCGGCCACACUGGAACUGAGACACGGUCCAGACUCCUACGGGAGGCAGCAGUAGGGAAUCUUCCGCAAUGGGCGAAAGCCUGAUGGAGCAACGCCGCGUGAGUGAUGAAGGUCUUCGGAUCGUAAAACUCUGUUAUUAGGGAAGAACAAAUGUGUAAGUAACUAUGCACGUCUUGACGGUACCUAAUCAGAAAGCCACGGCUAACUACGUG
rnacentral:rRNA from 1 species